rnacentral:lncRNA from 1 species
ACCAACAUCUAUAAAUACAGGACCCAAGUUUAUUAUUCCGAUACGUUUUACAUACAAUUGCAACAUACAUUCUUAUACAAAUUCCCUGUCUGACUUAAGCAUUGGGGACGUCGAGAACACACUUCAUUGUCUUUGUUUUAGGUUCUGAAAUGCUCUAUUCGUGUUCUUUCUCAGUCCCCUAGCUCAAUAUUUAAGUAGCAAGUUCGAGAUCCAUCAAGUACAAUUUUUGAUAGCAUCAUUGGUUCCAUCUAUGGGAAUCGAUUACAGUUACCCACAAGGGAAACACAUGAGAAAAGCCUACCAAAAUAUUCCUGAGAGAAAGGAAGAAGAUUGUCAAAAGCUUUGAAGAUAAUCUCAAAAUUCAGAGAAGUGACACUUGAAAAGAAAAACAAACACAAAAUUCUCGUCGCCCUCAAUUUCGUUUCAAUUCUCGUGUUACUUUCACGCCUCAAUUUUUUUCUUAAUUUCCGUUAAGUUUCCCUCCCCACCAACAACAAUCAUAUGCUUCUUAACUACAACAAGAAUCCCAAUUUCCCUUCCAGAAUUUCUCAAACCCUUCUUUUAUUAAAGUUUGUUUUGUUCUCCCAAAUUGAAAAAACGUCCAAGAUUUUGCUUUCAUUAUAGCAAGAAUAGUUUGGGAUUUUGUGUUUGAGAAAUUAUUAAAUUAGAGAUGAGUUUUCAAGAUCUAGAGCUGGUCGGAGUUGGGGGUGUCGAAUGGAUUGCAUAAAUGGGAAGCAAAGUCCGACCCAAGCCGUAGCUUUUAGAAUAUCCUAUAUCAAUGCGGCAUAUCCACCUUUCAGUGCCCCUGAUACCCUAGGUAUCCACAGGAUACGCCCAAGCUCUAUGAAAAGCUGCAUAAAACUAGGCUACUAUAAGUAGAAUUCUGGCAAUCUGUGAUAAUCCAUCGAAAGGGUUCUGGUGUGAUCUGCUUCGAUCUUAACAAGUGAACUGUUUCAAAUUUUGAUACAAUAACAAAGAAUGAAUUCUAUUUUGGUCGUGAAACUUCAUUUCGGGUAUUUUCCUCCAAUUAAAGAUGAGCUGAAUCAAAUUGAAAAGGGAAUGGAAGUUGAAAUUGGGCUCACCAUCUGUUUGAUGAAGUUUUUAGGCCAAAAUCUAACUGGUAACCACCAUUGAGAUAGCUAAGGUAAGAGCCCAAGGUAACCUUUUGCAAAGUGAAACUAUCGAUUUCGCAAACCUCCGACAACACUAAUACAGACAGCCAUGGUCCAUCUUUGCCUUGUGAAGAAUAAAAAAAAAAAAAAGAGGGUGCAUUUAGUGAACAACUAAAGGACUUGACAAGAAGUUCUGCAAAAACGUAAAAAUGUGAAAGAAAUAGAGGUAGCUCUAAAGAGGCUUCGUCGGCAACAAUUGGAUAAUAUCAACAUUUUUUGGCCUCCGAAUUGGGAAAAGUUGCGGCCUCCACUGGGUUAAUUAUCUCAAAU